AAUGGCUCUUUGCAGAUUAUUGUAACCAUAUCUCUGGUUUUUUUCCUUUUUGGCUUUUUCUACGUUGGUUUUCUUACCAUGCUCUGAUAUACUCGGUGAAUUGCAGGUCAUUUAUUAGUGAUAGGGCUUUGACUAAUUUUUGUUCUGAUGAUGAUGCUCGUGUUUUGAUUUUUUUUAUGACCACGAUGGUGCCACAGGAGGCUACAAGUUUAUCGAUUUAGAUGUACCAUUAAUCUAUUAUGCAUAAUGGCUAAUAGGUUUUAUAUUUGGUCUUUUUCUUUGUUGUAAAACUGUGUCCAAAUUGUUGAACAAAUUUUUCAAUGGAUGAAUUCUUUAGUUAAAGUUACUAUACUUUUGAUCUUAUCACUCCCUGAAAGUACCUUUGUGAUCUCUUAUGUUUU
rnacentral:lncRNA from 1 species